rnacentral:rRNA from 1 species
AACGAACGCUGGCGGCAUGCCUAACACAUGCAAGUCGAACGAAUGGUUUCGGCCAUUAGUGGCGCACGGGUGAGUAACGCGUGGGAAUCUGCCCAGCAGUGGGGGAUAACCUCUGGAAACGGAGGCUAGUACCGCAUACGCCCCUCGGGGGAAAGGCUUGCUGCUGCUGGAGGAGCCCGCGUCGGAUUAGGUAGUUGGUGGGGUAAUGGCCUACCAAGCCUGUGAUCCGUAGCUGGUCUGAGAGGAUGAUCAGCCACACUGGGACUGAGACACGGCCCAGACUCCUACGGGAGGCAGCAGUGGGGAAUAUUGGACAAUGGGCGCAAGCCUGAUCCAGCAAUGCCGCGUGUGUGAAGAAGGCCUGCGGGUUGUAAAGCACUUUCAGUGGGGAAGAACAGAUUCGGGUCAAUACCUCGGAGCCCUGACGUUACCCACAGAAGAAGCACCGGCUAACUCCGUGCCAGCAGCCGCGGU